rnacentral:rRNA from 1 species
GGAAUAUUGCACAAUGGGGGAAACCCUGAUGCAGCCAUGCCGCGUGUGUGAAGAAGGCCUUCGGGUUGUAAAGCACUUUCAGCGACGAGGAAGGGUGUUGUGUUAAUAGCGCAGCACAUUUACGUUAGUCGCAGAAGAAGCACCGGCUAACUCCGUGCCAGCAGCCGCGGUAAUACGGAGGGUGCAAGCGUUAAUCGGAAUUACUGGGCGUAAAGCGUACGUAGGCGGCGUGUUAAGCAAGAUGUGAAAGCCCCGGGCUCAACCUGGGAAUUGCAUUUUGAACUGGCAUGCUAGAGUCCUGAAGAGGGUGGUAGAAUUUCCAGUGUAGCGGUGAAAUGCGUAGAUAUUGGAAGGAAUACCGGUGGCGAAGGCGGCCACCUGGUCAGAGACUGACGCUGAGGUACGAAAGCGUGGGGAGCAAACAGG